UACGUAGGUCCCGAGCGUUGUCCGGAUUUAUUGGGCGUAAAGCGAGCGCAGGUGGUUUAUUAAGUCUGGUGUAAGAGGCAGUAACUCAACCAUUGUAUGCAUUGGAAACUGGUAGACUUGAGUGCAGGAGAGGAGAGUGGAAUUCCAUGUGUAGCGGUGAAAUGCGUAGAUAUAUGGAGGAACACCGGUGGCGAAAGCGGCUCUCUGGCCUGUAACUGACACUGAGGCUCGAAAGCGUGGGGAGCAAACAGG
rnacentral:rRNA from 1 species